CACAAAUGAUUCUGUGUGCUCUCUGAAAAUCAGACUGCUGCAGAGAAGAUGCUGCUUCUCUUGCUUUACAGAAAAAAAUAGAUCAUUGUGGUCUGGAAAGAUUUAGGGAUUUUCUUCUGAAUCCUACUGUCCACCAGAGACAACAGUACAAAAUUCCCUGUCUAAAUUACUGGUGGCUCUUUCCGUUCACAAGCCAACAGAAGGGGUUUUGCUAUCAAGAGCCACUUUCCAGCUCUGCUCAGCUGGACAGGAUCAAGAGAAUGGCAUCCAAGUAGCAGUGUUCUUCCCUAAAUCUGUAAGCUCUUUUCAGCAUUCCUGUUGUGCAGACUGCUGUUUUGUUCCAACACAGUAUAGUGUGGCAUGGUUGUGCUCAACUGGACUUCAGGGUACCUGCAUUUUCACAUCUUCCUGCAAGAAUGGAUUUGGAGCCCCAUUUUUGCUUGUGCCAACACAGCUAUACUGCCACAGCAUAUGUGAAAUAGCCUCAUCACGUAAACGCUUAACCCUGUUCAUUAUUCGUCUGGUGAAUGCUCCCAGUGCAAGCCAUUGACUGGACUCACAGGUAGGCUUGGUCCACCUUGCAACAUCCAGAAAUCCCUUCCUGAGUUAUGAGCAUGGAGGAGGGAUUCAGAGCUGCUGUUCCCCCAGCAGCUUCGGGGUGUGAAGUAGGACCAGAUGUGAGCUGUUGUGCACACACACAAAACCAGUUUUUCCCUAUCUGACCCUUGCAGCAGCAGAGGC
rnacentral:lncRNA from 1 species